UUUCUAGUCUUCACCGUGUACAUAUGUCUCUUGCGGGUGUGCUAUUUGUUCCAGUGGAAGAUAGGUUCCAGUUUCUAUAAAUGGUCCUCUGCAUGUGUAUAUGUUCUCUGUACUUGAACCAAAUUGACGUACUAGUUUUACUGAAAACCUAUACUAGCUGGUAUCAGUCUAUAGCAAGAGAUGCAUGCAAUUUGUUUUAUAUAUGAAAAAUGGUGAUGAUGAGUACAUGCUGCUGUUUGACUAGUUCACUGCCUGCUGGUCCAGAUUAUAUGGUCGUGAAGCUCGGCGUUGACAAGAGCAUCACUCUGUAGCUGUGCAUCCUUCUCUAACAAGCAUUCAAAGCACUACCAUGCCGGGCUGUGGGUGCGUAUGAUUUGAAUCUGCAGUAAAGACUGGUAAUUUUGUUUGUAUCUAGUCUUGACCAUGUAUCUCGUCGGGCACCAAUUCGACUAUUUUCACAGGUACUGCCUCAUCGACCAAGGAUCUACGGCGACAGCGGCACCAGCGACCCCAUGGAGGCGGCACCGAAACCCUGGUUGCUACUGCUCUCCCCUGAGUCCCCUCCUCAUCUCCUCCCUCACGCGGUGUCUUCUCUCUCUUUCUCUCUCGCUCUCUCAAGCUAAUUUUAAUCUGACUCCAUCUUGGGGUGCUACUGUGCGUGCAAUACAUGCUCUGCUUGGUCUUCUUUUCUUAGACAUCCCUCGAUCAGUUAAGUUGGACAAGCAAAAAAUCUUACAUAUCUCAGCUUUGUCAAUUAAGCUCAUUUGAUUGAUGUCUUUAUCUUCACAAGUCUUGCUGAACCUUGAGAUAGGCAAAAACAUUCAGUUCAGAGCCUGAUAGUUUGUUGCUAUAAUAAUAAUACCUACACUUCUACAUUACCAAUUGCCGUCUGGAGAUUCAAAUUCAGAUAUGAAAACUAUAUAGGAUUUUCAAUUCUCUGGGAAUGUUGCUACAUAUUCUUUUACAUGUUUCUCUCUGAGGCUAAUUUUAAUCUCACAUCAUCCUGGGUGGUACUGUGUGUGUUGUAGAUGCUCUGUUUCAUCUUCUUUUCUCAAACCUCCACGAGUCAAAUUCGACCGGGAAAAAGAAACACCUGCGUACAUAUCACCGGGUAGUGGCCCGACAAAAUGUUACAUAUAUCAGUUUUGUCAUUUAAGCCCAUUUGAUGUCAUCUUCAUAACUCUGUCUAUCUCCAGCUAUGGUGUGGAAUAUUAACUGGGGAUUUUGAAACGCAGAUGUUCAAGCUGGAGGAUGUGGCGAUGGAAUAUGGAUCAAUGAGAUGAAGAAAGGUGUUGAUGUCAAGUACGAGAAUGAUGGAAGGAUCUUGUGGUUAUCUAGUUGCCCACCAGGAGUCAAUGUAGAUGAUGUGCCUCUAGGGCAAAUUCUAGAAAACAAAGCGACUCAUUUUUGCUCUCAAACAAUGAACAUAUUUUUCCCUAUUUAAUAAGUUAAAUUAGUUUAUGGGAAAUUUAGAUGUGAAAAUUAAUGAAUGUGUGUUAUUAUUGUUUGGUUUUGGUUUAGUAUUGUUGGACGACAUGCACGUUAUUGUAAUGAUUUGGGUUAACUUGAUUGAUAUUCUGUUGAUAAUGUGAAAUCCAGCUAUAUGGCAUGGCUAGCUGAC
rnacentral:lncRNA from 1 species